GAUGAACGCUGGCGGCGUGCCUAAUACAUGCAAGUCGAGCGAACAGACGAGGAGCUUGCUCCUCUGACGUUAGCGGCGGACGGGUGAGUAACACGUGGAUAACCUACCUAUAAGACUGGGAUAACUUAGGGAAACCGGAGCUAAUACCGGAUAAUAUAUUGAACCGCAUGGUUCAAUAGUGAAAGACGGUUUUGCUGUCACUUAUAGAUGGAUCCGCGCCGCAUUAGCUAGUUGGUACGGUAACGGCUUACCAAGGCAACGAUGCGUAGCCGACCUGAGAGGGUGAUCAGCCACACUGGAACUGAGACACGGUCCAGACUCCUACGGGAGGCAGCAGUAGGGAAUCUUCCGCAAUGGGCGAAAGCCUGACGGAGCAACGCCGCGUGAGUGAUGAAGGUCUUCGGAUCGUAAAACUCUGUUAGUUGGGAAGAACAAAAGUGUAAGUAACUAUGCACGUCUUGACGGUACCUAAUCAGAAAGCCACGGCUAACUACGUG
rnacentral:rRNA from 1 species